UAGACCUGUAUGAAAGGCAAAACGAGGGUCUAUCUGUCUCUUGUAGUAAAUCAAUUAAACUGAUCUCCCAGUUCAAAAGCUGGAAUACCAACAUAAGACCAGAAGACCCUGUGAAGCUUAAAUUAAACUAUUAAACCCAAUAAUAGCUCCUUUCGGUUGGGGCGACCUUGGAAAAAAAAAGAACUUCCAAAUACACUGACCCUACAGUCAUCCACUUCUAGGCCAACAAGCCUAUCAACGACCCAGUACAGCUGAUAAUUGAACCAAGUUACUCCAGGGAUAACAGCGCUAUCUUCUUCAAGAGUCCAUAUCAAAAGGAAGGUUUACGACCUCGAUGUUGGAUCAGGACAUCCUAAUGGUGUAGCCGCUAUUAAGGGUUCGUUUGUUCAACGAUUAACAGUCCCA
rnacentral:rRNA from 1 species